rnacentral:rRNA from 1 species
CCUACGGGUGGCAGCAGUGGGGAAUAUUGGGCAAUGGGCGCAAGCCUGACCCAGCAACGCCGCGUGAAGGAAGAAGGCUUUCGGGUUGUAAACUUCUUUUCUCAGGGACGAAGCAAGUGACGGUACCUGAGUAAUAAGCCACGGCUAACUACGUGCCAGCAGCCGCGGUAAGACGUAGGCUGCAAGCGUUAUCCGGAUUUACUGGGUGUAAAGGGCGUGUAGGCGGCACUGCAAGUCAGAUGUGAAAGCCACGGGCUCAACCUGUGGACUGCAGUUGAAACUGUGUUUCUUGAGUAUUGGAGAGGCAGGCGGAAUGCCUGGUGUAGCGGUGAAAUGCGUAGAUAUUAGGAGGAACACCGGUGGCGAAGGCGGUCUGCUGGACAGUAACUGACGCUGAGGCGCGAAAGCGUGGGGAGCAAACAGGAUUAGAUACCCCAGUAGUC